rnacentral:rRNA from 2 species
GAGGAGCUCGCGUCUGAUUAGCUAGUUGGUAGGGUAAAAGCCUACCAAGGCAUCGAUCAGUAGCUGGUCUGAGAGGAUGACCAGCCACACUGGGACUGAGACACGGCCCAGACUCCUACGGGAGGCAGCAGUGGGGAAUUUUCCGCAAUGGGCGAAAGCCUGACGGAGCAAGACCGCGUGAGGGAGGAAGGCUCUUGGGUUGUAAACCUCUUUUCUCAGGGAAGAACAAAAUGACGGUACCUGAGGAAUCAGCCUCGGCUAACUCCGUGCCAGCAGCCGCGGUAAUACGGAGGAGGCAAGCGUUAUCCGGAAUUAUUGGGCGUAAAGCGUCCGCAGGUGGCACUUCAAGUCUGUCGUCAAAGACUGGGGCUUAACCCUGGAAAGGCGGUGGAAACUGAAGCGCUAGAGUGCGGUAGGGGUAGAGGGAAUUCCCGGUGUAGCGGUGAAAUGCGUAGAGAUCGGGAAGAACAUCGGUGGCGAAAGCGCUCUACUGGACCGCAACUGACACUCAGGACGA